GUGUCGUCGGUGCCGCGAGCCGCGGGAGGAAGGGGGGGCGAAACGUGGUGUGGAUUGACUGUGCGUAAAUGGCGUGUGGGCGGUUCGGUAAGUGGACGGUGAAAGCCCCCGGGUGGCUCGGGGAACUGCAUCCCAUACUGCUGGAGUUGAGUGCGGGAGAGGAUGGAGGAAUUGCUGGUGUAGCGGUGAAAUGCGUAGAUAUCAGGAGGAACACCUGUGGCGAAGGCGUCCAUCUGGCCCGUUACUGACGCUGAUGCGCGAAAGCUAGGGGAGCAAACGGGAUUAGAGACCCGAGUAGUC
rnacentral:rRNA from 1 species